rnacentral:lncRNA from 1 species
UUCCCAACACCCUCGAUCCUCUUUGUUUGGACACGCUUUCCUGGUUCAUGCCCGACCUCGGAAGAUCAACACGUCGCAACCCUACCUAGGCACAACAGAGAGGUCAGCACGCCGGUCUAAAUCCUAUGGCGCAGGGGUCUGGGCCCAUCGCCCAUUGCACACCUGCACGUUGCGAACGCGGCCGGCGAGCAGACCUAGCCUCCCUUAUACAAGAGCAGGCGUUCCAGUCCAACCCGGCGCGCGCCGCUCAGUCACUGACGUCACGAAGGCUUCGGCUGAUACCACGACGUCGAGUGCCCAUAACUGUCCCCGCGUAGUUGGUUAGUGCGUAUAGGCCAGUAGCCAGUCUCAGAUCAAAUACCAAGAUCUCGUUAAGCAUGUUAAUUGAAGUAUCCGUGAACGCCGACCAGGGCCAGGCCCACCUCUCUUCUAGGUAGUCUCAACCUGCCCUGUCACUCCGCCUCAAAGUAACAGUCGGGGGCCGUCGGGAACUCAGGCCCACCACUACCUGGAUGGAGCCACCUGCCCCUUCAGCCCCCACAUCAGAAUCACUUGCCGGUACUCAACGAGCCGACCCGACUUUAGUCACCACUUGAAUAGUAUGUAUAUAUGUAUGUAUUUACCCGUGAUCAACACCCGACGUGAUCACGGCCCGAUAGUAUAGCAUGGCAGACUAACAAGAAUGUAGGGCCACUGAUGAUAAUCUAGCAUCAUAUACUAAGUAUUUAGGAUUGCAGGUAAGGUAUCAACAGUUGUAGCAACAAUGACAGGCUAUGCAUCAGAAUAGGAUUAACGGAAAGCGGUAACAUGCUACACUACUCUAAUGCAAGCAGUAGAGAGAAGAGUAGGCGAUAUCUGGUGAUCAAGGGGGGGCUUGCCUGGUUGCUCUGGCAAGAAGGGUCGUCAAUACCGUAGUCGACAACAUGGGUACCGGCAGCGGUCUCGGGGUCUACCGAAAAGAAGUAACGGAGGGGAACACAAUAAAUAACAAUGCAAUCAAAGCAUCACAAGGCAUAACAUGACAAUACGCGGUGCUAGGGGUGCCCUAACGCGGUAUGAGGUGGUACUGGCAAAGGGGGGAAACAUCUGGGAAAAUAUCCCUUGGGUUUCGUGUUUUCGGACAGAUGAAUUGGAGGGGGAAAGUUGCGUGUUUGCUAUGCUAGGGAUGCGUGGCGGAUGAACGGGCUGCGUAUCCAGAUUCGUCUCGUUGUUCUGAGCAACUUUCAUGUACAAAGUUUUUCCAUCCGAGCUACGGUUUAUUUUAUAUUAAUUUUAAAAGAUUUAAAUCAAUUUAGGAUUUAUUUAAUUAUUUAAAUCAACAUUAUCCAGAACAGUGUUUGCUGACGUCAGCAUGACAUCAGCAGUCAACAGGGGUGUUGACUGGUCAAACUGACGUGUGGGUCCCGUUCAUCAUUGACUAGACUAACUAAUCCUGAUUAAUUAUCUUAAUUAGUUGUUUAGUUUAAUUAAUCAAAAUUAAUUAACUUAAUUAAUUCUUUAAUUAAUUGAUUGAUUAAUUAUUUUUAUUAUUAUUGUUUCAAUUAUUUUUAAAUUAAAUUUUUUUAAAUCGUUCCAGGGCGGGCCCCACGUGCCAUAGGCACAGGGGCCAUAGCGGGCACGCGGGUGGCGGUUACGGGCGCGUGCGCCCGCGUACCGGCACGAGGCCACCAGGGGAGGCGCCGACCGCAACGGCUGCCUAAGCAGCGCCGCGAGCGGGGAGGCCAUUGGCCAGGGCAGCCGGGGUUGGGAGCGGCACGGAGCGGGGCGAUGGUCUGGGGCGGCGGUCGGAGGAACCGCCGGAGUCGUGCUAGGGCGGCGGCGCGCUAGCAGGUGGCGGGGAGCAGAGGCGGGAGGCAGUCCGACGAGGUCCAGGCAGGCUCCGGGCUGCGACGGUGUUCGGCGGCGUGUGCUCUCCUCCCGAUCCCAAUACAAUCGGGAGAGGGGGAAAGAUAUUUCGGGUGGGGACGAGUGGGGUGGUGUCGGUGGGAGAGCGGGGGAGUGGGGGAGGUUAUGGGGUGCGGGUGGGCUCGGCUGGUUGGGCCUUUUGGGCUGGCCGGCCGGCAGCUGGGCUGGUUGGCCCAGGGGUUAGGGGGUUUCUUUUUGUGUUGUUUUAUUUUUACUUUUUAUUUAUUUCUCUUUUUUGAUUUAUUUCUAGUUUCUUUUUCAUUUAGUUUUUAUCUAAUAUUAAAAUGAUCCCUAAUUUAGUAAUACAUUAAAACCCACUACAACAAAAGGUUUUACCCCAAAACAAUUUAGUUUAGUAUUUUGUUAAUUAUAAAAGUAUUUAAAUAUUGGGUUUUGCUACUGUUUUAUUCACCUAAGGGUAUUUAAACAUUUUAUAAAGGUGUGGUUUCUUCACCAUAAUUAUCUAUGCAAUAGUUGGUUCACUCCGAAUAUUUUAGUUUUAAUAAUUGAAAACUUUUAUUGUUUGGCUGAUUUUGAAUUUGAAUUUGAAUCAGUUUCGAACUAACUCGAGAUUAGCAACUAUAAUCAAGGUGACGUGGCAUCAUUAGCAAAGGAUCACUGUAGCUUAAUUACCCGGGCGUCACAUCUAUAGAGAUAGAUCAAGACGCUUCAUUAGACUUUCACCAAGCACAUACCUUGAUAAAGUUGUGAAGAAGUUCAAAAUGGAUCAAGCUAAGAAAGGGUUCUUGCCUGUGUUACAAGGUAUGAAGUUGAGUAAGACUCAAUGCCCGACCAGUGCAGAAGAUAGAGAGAAAAUGAAAAGUGUUCCCUAUGCUUCAGCCAUAGGCUCUAUCAUGUAUGCAAUACUGUGUACCAGACCUGAUGUGUGCCUUGCUAUUAGUCUAGCAGGAGGUACCAAAGUAAUCCAGGAGUGGAUCACUGGACAGCGGUCAAGAACAUCCUAAAAUACCUGAAAAGGACUAAGAAUAUGUUUCUCGUUUAUGGAGGUGACAAAGAGAUCAUCGUAAAUGGUUACGUUGAUGCAAGCUUUGAAACUGAUCCAGACGAUUCUAAAUCGCAAACCGGAUACGUGUUUAUAUUGAACGGUGGAGCUGUCAGUUGGAGCAGUUCUAAGCAAAGCGUCGUGGCAGGAUCUACAUGUGAAGCGGAGUACAUAGCUGCUUCGGAAGCAGCAAAUGAAAGAGUAUGGAUGAAGGAGUUCAUAUCUGAUCUAGGUGUCAUACCUAGUGUAUCGGGUCCAAUGAAAAUCUUUUGUGACAAUACUGGUGCAAUCGCCUUGGCAAAGGAAUCCAGAUUUCACAAGAGGACCAAGCACAUCAAGAGACGCUUCAAUUCCAUCCGGGAUCAAGUCCAGAUAGGAGACAUAGAGAUAUGCAAGAUACAUACGGAUCUAAAUAUUGCAAACUCGCUGACUAAGCCUCUUCCACGAGCAAAACAUGAUCAGCACCAAGACUCCAUGGGUGUUAGAAUCAUUACUGUGUAAUCUAGAUUAUUGACUCUAGUGCAAGUGGGAGGCUGAAGGAAAUAUGCCCUAGAGGCAAUAAUAAAGUUAUUAUUUAUUUCCUCAUAUCAUGAUAAAUGUUUAUUAUUCAUGCUAGAAUUGUAUUAACCGGAAACAUAAUACUUGUGUGAAUACAUAGACAAACAUAGUGUCACUAGUAUGCCUCUACUUGACUAUCUCGUUCAUCAAAGAUGGUUAUGUUUCCUAACCAUAGACAUGAGUUGUCAUUUGAUAAACAUGAUCACAUCAUUAGGAGAAUGAUGUGAUUGACUUGACCCAUUUCGUUAGCUAGCACUUGAUCGUUUAGUUUACUGCUAUUGCUUUCUUCAUGACUUAUACAUGUUCCUUUGACUAUGAGAUUAUACAACUCCCGAUUACCCGAGGAACACUUUGUGUGCUACCAAACGUCACAACGUAACUGGGUGAUUAUAAAGGUGCUCUACAGGUGUCUCCGAUGGUACUUGUUGAGUUGGCAUAGAUCGAGAUUAGGAUUUGUCACUCUGAUUAUCGGAGAGGUAUCUCUGGGCCCUCUCGGUAAUGCACAUCAUAAUAAGCCUUGCAAGCAAUGUGACUAAUAAGUUAGUUACGGGAUGAUGCAUUAGAUAAUGAGUAAAGAGACUUGCCGGUAACGAGAUUGAGCUAGGUAUUGGGAUACCGACGAUUGAAUCUCGGGCAAGUAACAUACCGAUGACAAAGGGAACAACAUAUAUUGUUAUGCGGUUUGACCGAUAAAGAUCUUCGUAGAAUAUGUAGGAACCAAUAUGAGCAUCCAGGUUCCGCUAUUGGUUAUUGACCGGAGACAUGUCUCGGUCAUGUCUACAUAGUUCUCGAACCCAUAGGGUCCGCACGCUUAAAGUUCUGUGAUGAUCGGUAUUAUGAGUUUAUAUGUUUUGAUGUAUCGAAGGUAGUUCGGAGUCCCGGAUAUGAUCACGGACAUGACGAGGAGUCUCGAAAUGGUCAAGACAUGAAGAUUGAUAUAUCGGAAGCCUACAUUUGAACAUCGAAAGAGUUCCGGAUGAAAUCAGGAUUUUGCCGUAGUGCCGGAGGGGUUACCGGAACCCCCCGGGGGUUAAUGGGCCUUGUUGGGCCCUAGUGGAGAGAGAGAGGGGCCGGUCAGGGCAGGCCGCGCGCCCCUCCCCCUCUGAUCCGAAUUGGACUAGGAGAGGGGGGGUGGCGCCCCCUUUCCUUCUCCUUCUCCCCCUUCCUUUCCCCUCCUAGUAGGAGUAGGAAAGAGGGGAAUCCUACUCCUACUAGGAGGAAGACUCCUCCUGGCGCGCCCUUUAGGGCCAGUCGGCCUGCCCCCUUGCUCCUUUAUAUACGGGGGCAGGGGCACCUCUAGACACACAAGUUGAUCGUUGAUCUCUCCCAGCCGUGUGCGGUGCCCCCCUCCACCAUAAUCCACCUUGGUCAUACUGUAGCGGUGCUUAGGCGAAGCUUUGUGACGGUAGCUUCAUCAACAUCGUCACCACGCCAUCGUGCUGACGAAACUCUCCCUCGAGCUCUACUGGAUCGUGAUUUCGCGGGACGUCACCGAGCUGAACGUGUGCUGAACGCGGAGGUGUCGUAUGUUCGAUACUGAGGAUCGGUCGAUUGUGAAGACGUACGACUAUAUCAACCGCGUUGUCAUAACGCUUCCGCUUAACGGUCUACGAGGGUUCAUGGACGACUCUCCCCUCUCGUUGCUAUGCAUAACCAUGAUCUUGCGUGUGCGUAGGAUUUUUUUUGAAAUUACUACAUUCCUCAACACCUUUAGUCCCGGUUUCAGAACCGGGACUAAAGGCCCUCUGGAACCGGGACUAAAGACCCGUUUUCUACUAGUAUCCAUCUAGUAGCAGAAGAGGAGGUUGGGAUACAUAGUAAUUCUAGGGCCAGGUCUAGGUUUAAGUUUGCUCAUGUGGCAUCUGAUGUUAUGCUACGAUGGAGCUUCACUCCUCUACUUGCGAGUGGCAUCAGGUGGUUGCCUCAUUCUUCACCCGGUCGACUUCCAUGGCUGACAACAACUCUGCCAAAGCAGGCUAAAUCCAGAUUCCUCGUCCUUUUUUCAUCGGCAUCAUGGGUGAGGAAGGAGAAAGGGAUCCGCGUUCUGGUCCUUAAGGUCUGGAGCAUUGUGGGGAUGAUAUAGGUGUGCUUUGUCUGUCUUUGAUCACUACAACAUCCUCAAGCAUUGGAGUAGAGGGGAAAGUCAACAGAUGUCUCUGAUGUGCUUGUUGGCUUGUUAGGGUUGAUCACCACCUACAAGUCGACCUAUAUCACUAAUCCCCUUUGCGACCAUCUUCAACAUUAUUUGUGCCUCUUUUCCUUGCCGCCGAUGGCGAUGGCAGGGUUAUCUUCAGAAACAAUGGCUCAAGCAUCUCCGACAAGGCCGUUGUUUGCCUCACGACUCGAUUGUGCCUUUUGUAUCGUCUUUGAGGUCAUAUCUACUAGUAAUUGAUUGUAACUUUUUACUUUUUUGGGCACAAACUGCCCCCCUCCACGGUCUGACAAACAUAGAAACACUCGGCCAUUGCCCGAGCAGAGGGGGGCAGCGCACACCAUGUCACAAAACACUCAGGAAUCCAGCUGCAAGCAGCAGAAAUUAGCGAGAGCACGCACGCCAUGGCAGCUUUGCUGGAUCUCAUGGUGGUUCACUCCUCGCCGUCGCCUCGCUUCGCUGGUGCCCCGCGGGCGUGCGCCGCGCUGGUGGUCGACUCGAGGCAUCCGGGCAAGGAGAGGGAGCAAUGCCGCCGGCCGUUCCAUGCCCCCGCGCCGGCGUUCUGGGGACGCGUGGAGGAGCGGCGCUGCCGACCACGGCCGCCGCCGCCGCCGCCGUGCGUGGGCCUGCGCGGGAGGAAUCGGGAGAAGGACGACCGCCAUGGUCGGAAUUGUGGGCUGGACCGUGAAAACGGCCCACAAGCCCAUCUCCUGCCCAAAGCCCGCUACGGCGGUACUUUGAAAUACCCCGCCUUGGCGCCCGAGCGCAACCGUCUCAACCAACAGCUUCUCCUCUUCUCCCCGUCGCCGGAGCGCCGACAAGAAACCAAGAACCCAUCUCCUCCGCUCUCCAGCGAUCCAACGCCGGCGGCGACCGAUGGACCAGUUCCACGACAGGCAGAACGUGCGGCUGCGGAGCCGCGUGCUGGGCACCUACGUCCACGCCGACCACGACGGGGAGCGCGUCUCCCUCAGCCGGCGCCGUGACUCGCUCAACACGGCGUGGGUGGCGCACAUCCACCAACGCGCCGACGGCCCGUACCUGCUCCUCCACAGCGCCGCCUACGGCCGCUACCUCGGCACCACGUUCAAGCCGGCGCCGCUCGGCCACCACGGCUGCCGCACCGAGCAGCGCGACUACGACGACGAGCCGGACUUGAUGGCCGUCAUGUGGAAGGCCGCCGGGGCGGGCUUCGGGGACGUCGUCCUGCUCCGCAACGCCUCCGUCCGCGUCCUCCGCGCCAACGGCAGGGACCUCCCCUGGAACGGCGUCACCGUCGACGACAACGUCAGCUCCAUGAUGUACUGGACCGUCGAGCCCAUCCCCGCAAGAGGCGGUCCGCCUGGCCUUCCAGGCCCGAUUCAGGUGAGCUCGCCAUGACCCUGCUUCUUGAAUCUUGAUAGUUCUCGAAUUGCUUCUUGAAUCAAUUGAGCGAAUUGAGUUUUUGGGAUUGCGAAUUGGGUUUAUUCAUUCGCCAAAUUUUGUAGCUCGUCCCUGUUGUAGUUCUGUUCCUGCCAAAUUUUGCGACUCCUGAACCUAACCAUGGUGGUUUUGUAGCUCGGCCACCACGGCUGCUGCACCGAGCAGCGCGACUACGACGACGAGCUGGACUUGAUGGCCGUCAUGUGGAAGGCCGCCGGGGCGGGCUUCGAUGACGUCGUCCUGCUCCGCAACGCCGCCGGCCGCUACCUCUCCUGGAACACCGGCGUCACCGUCGACAACAUAGGCAACAUCAGCGCCAUGAUGUACUGAACCGUCGAGCACAUCCCCGCCAGAGAGGGUCCGCCUGGCCCGAUCCACGUGAGUUCGCCAUGACCAGACCUGCUUCUUGAAUCUUGAUAACUCUCGAAUUGCUUGUUGAAUCAAUUGAGCGAAUUCUUUGAUCUCCUGAACCUAACCAUGGUUGUUCUUUUGGCUCAACUGCAGACCCCCAGCCCCGGAUACCACUCCCUCAUGCUCUGGCGCAACCCGGUGGUGUCACGGCUGAUCCGGUUCAUGCUGUCCGAUCCCCACGGCCCCGUCUACACCCAGCACUGCUGGACCACGCUGCGGUUCAGGGGGAGGUCCGUGUUCCACCUGAGGGACGAGCUGGCCAGGCGCAUCGCCUUCGUCCUGGACGGGCGUCAGUCCUGCGACCUCGUAAUGUGGAGCGGGCCGCCGGGGGCGUCUGACCCCACUCGUCGUCGACCUGCCCAGCAGCGGCUAUGGCGAGACCCUCUGGAUUGUCGUCUUCAUGUCCGGGACCCCAGGUGAGAGACACUCUCCAUGUCCCAAAAUUGAGCCGGUAGUCUUGACUGAAUUUGCUAUGCAGGCUGUACAGAUUUUGGUGCAGAUGAUAUUUUAGUCUUGACUGAAUUUUCAACCAGUUUGCUGAAAAUGUUAUAGUCCGAGGAAAAGUUUACUGAAAUUGUUGUAGUCUAAAAAACAGUUAACUGAAACUGCUGUAGUCUGAAACUGUCAGGAGUUGGUAAUUGUCUGCAACUGUUGUAGUCUUGUAGAUAAGUGAAAGAUGAUUACACACAACCUUGGUAUGGAAAGCAUUGAUUUCAUGCUAUUCUCCUCGAUUCAGAUAAUGCAGUACCUCCAUUUGAUACUAUUUUUUGCCAUCAGUAAAAAAGAUUUGUGUAAAGCCAUUGAAAAAUAUAGAACUUAAAAAGCCAAAUCAGCUCAUUAAUCACUUUUUAGACUUAGCAUAGAAGAGGAUAUAUCCGUUUGAGCUUGCCUAUUUUACUUGGGUUGAAUAACCUCUGAACAAUAUUCAGGUUCCUACAAUACUAAAUUAAAUCUAGUUUCUGCAAACCAUAUUGUUUCCAGGUUUUGCACCUGAGCUGUAUUUCUAGUCUUGUCCUUUUUUUUUUGUAAAACUCUGAGAUUUGGAUUGCUGAUCUGCUUCCUACAAAUAUUGUUUGGCCAGAAGUGUGUUGGUGUUCUUGAAAUCUUUUAUUGCAGAAUGCACAGAUAUUUGAACUCUUACUUAGUGUAGUGCUAAUCUGAUCCUUCUUGGAAAAAUUACUUUAUGAUAGGUUUUGUUAGGACUUUGACUUGUCUGAGAAGUAAAAGUAGCUGAACGGAAAUAGUACUAGGUGCCAAGUAGAUUUAUCAGUCUGUGCACACAUGGCAAAACGUGGUCUGAAGCUAGUAGAAGCUACUGGUUCCACAUUACUGUUCUUGAUUCAGAUAAUUCAGUUUGUCCAUUUCGUAACAUUUGCGCUAGUUGAAAUUAUGAAACCUAAAAGGGAAAUCAUUUUUGUAACAUUUUCUGCUUAGUUCCUUGCACAUUAUAUUAUCUCAGGUUCUGUCCUGUUGGUCUUGUUUGUUUCAGUAAAUUUGGAUGAGCUGGCCAGGCGCAUCGCCUUCGUCCUGGACGGGCGUCAGUCCUGCGACCUCGUAAUGUGCGUCCGAGCAGGCCGCCGGGGGCGUCUGACCCCACUCGUCGUCGACCUGCCCAGCAGCGGCUACGGCGAGACCCUCUGGAUUGUCGUCUUCAUGUCCAGGACCCCAGGUGAGAGCCACUCUCCAUGUCCCAACUUCCUAAUGAUCUCCUUCGUAAUAGUGGCAAGAAGUGAACUGGUAGUCUUCACUAAAUUUGCUAUGCAGGAUGCAAAGAUUUUAGUGUAGAUGCUAUGAUGCGUGUCCAUGAUCUUUUAGUCUUGACUGAAUUUUGAACCAGUUUGCUGAAAAUGUUAUAGUCCGACGAAAAGUUUACUGAAAUUGUUGUAGUCUAAAAAACAGUUAACUGAAACUGCUGUAGUCUGAAACUGUCAGGAGUAAUUGUCUGCAACUGUUGUAGUCUUGUAGAUAAGUGAAAGAUGAUUACACAUAACCUUGGUAUGGAAAGCAUUGAUUUCAUACUAUUCUCCUCGAUUCAGAUAAUGCAGUUCCUCCACUUGAUACUAUUUAUUGCCAUCAGUAAAAAAGAAUUGUGUAAAGCCAUUGAAAAUUAUACAACAUAAAAAAAUCCAAAUCAGUUCAUUAAUCUCUUUUCAGCCUUGGCUGAGAAUACUGAUGUAUCCGUUUGAUUUCGCCUAUUUUACUUGGGUUGAAUAGCCUCUGAGCAAAAUUCAGAUUCCUACAAUACUAAAUUAAAUCUAGUUUCUGAAAAUCAUACUGUUUUCACGUUUUGCACAUGUGCUGUAUUUCUAGUCUUGUAUUUUAAUUAUUAUUUUUAAAAACUCUGAGAUCUGGAUUGCUGAUCUGCUUCCUACAAAUAUUCUUUGGCGAGAAAUAUUUGGUCUUGAAAUCUUGUAUUGCAGAAUGCACAGAUAUUUGGAGUCUUACUUCAGUGGAGUGCUAAUCUGAUCCUUCUGGGAGAAAUGAUUCUAUGAUAGUAGGUUUUAUUAGGACUUUGGAACUUGUCUGAAAAGUAAAAGUAGUUGAAUGGAAAUAGUAGGUGUCAUGUGGAUUUAUCAGUCUGUGCACACAUGGCAAAACGUGGUCUGAAGCUAGUAGAAACUGCUGGUUCCACAUUGCUGUUCUUGAUUCAGAUAAUUCAGUUUGUCCAUUUCGUAACAUUUGUAUAGUUGAAAUUAUGAGACCUAAAAGGAAAAUCAUUUCGUAACAUCUGUUGCUUAGUUCCUUGCGCAUUAUAUUGUUUCAGGGUUUGACCUAUUGAUCUUGUUUGUUUCAGUAAAUCUGGGCGAACUGGCCAGGCGCAUCGCCUUCGUCCUGGACGGGCGUCAGUCCUUCGACCUCGUAAUGUGUGUCCGAGCGGGCUGCCAGGGGCGUCUGACCCCACUCAUCGUCGACCUGCCCAGCAGCGGCUACGGAGAGACCCUCUGGAUUGUCGUCUUCAUGUCCGGGACCCCAGGUGAGAGACACUUUCCAUGUCCCAACUUCCUAAUGAUCUUGUUCGUAAUGGUGAAAUCGGUAGUCUUGACUGAAUUUGCUAUGCACGAUGUACAGAUUUUGUUGUAGAUGCUAUUUGCUGCAUGGCCAUGAUCUUGUAGGUUUUAUUUUAAGUGGGGUGCCUGAUCAAUUUCCUGAAAAUGUUAUAGUCUGAGAAAAAGUUUACUGAAAUUGUUGUAGUCUAAAAGAAAACAAUUAACUGAAACUACUGUAGUCUGAAACUGUCUGCGUGAGUUAGUAAUUGUCUGCAACUGUUGUAGUCUUGUAGAUAAAUGAAAGAUGAUUACACACAACCUUUGUAUGGAAAGCAUUGAUUUCAUACUAUUCUCCUCGAUUCAGAUAAUGCAGUACCUCCACUUGAUACUAUUUUUUGCCAUCAGUAAAAACGAAUUGUGUAAAGCCAUUGAAAAUUAUAGAACUUAAAAAAAAUCCAAAUCAGCUCAUUAAUCUCUUUUUAGACUUAGCAUAAAAGAGGAUAUAUACUUUUGAUUGAAUUUGCUAUGCACGAUGUACAGUUUUUGGUGUAAAUGCUAUUUGCUGCAUGGCCAUGAUCUGCUUGUGCUUGAAUCGAUUUACUGAAAAUCUUAUAGUCUGAAGAAAAGUUUACUGAAAUUGUUGUAGUCUACAAAAUAGUUAAAUUCAACUGCUGUACUCUGAAACAAUGAAACUGUUAGGAGGAGUUGGUAAUUGUCUGUAGCUGUUAUAGUCUUGUAUAGAUAAGUAAAAGAUGCUAUGAUGCCUUGUCAUACAGAUGUUGCAGAGGUGGGCAUGCCUUGCGAUACAGAUCAUGAUAGGGCCGAUAAGUCACGUCGCCUGGAUUUUGCUCUUCUGCCUGAGGAAAUUCUGUGCGCAAUUGCUCAGUCCGCGGCAAGGUGCAGAUGCAGUGUGGUGGCUAUGCGCGGCGUUUGCCGCUCCUGGAGAUCCGCAGUUCCUGCUCCUACCCGAGCGCCGUUGCUGAUUCUGUCUUCUGUGAGAUCUGACCAGCCAACGGUCUUCUUGGCUGUGGUGGCAGGUUCAUUGCAGCUUCAGCAGAACCCUUUGUUCUUUCCACCAAGAGGUUCCCGAUGCUGGGGAAGCUGCAAUGGACUGCUCAGCCUUCGUGUAGCAGCAAGAACUGGAUUGACCCUCUGCCCCAACUGUGGACUGAGUUAUUCUUUGCCGGAGGUAGACGAGAACAUUGAUCUGAACAACUUCUGUGAGACCCGUCAGUUGGUCUGUACUUUUCCCGCAAAUCAUCCAGCAACAACAUGGUGGACGAAACUAGGUGAUGAACAGCAUUGGACAGGAUUUAACCAUGGAUUUGGAGUAUCUCCCAAAUCAAUAUAUUGGGACAAUGAGGAGAAUGCGGCAUGCAUUGCUUCUGCACCCUCUAGUUUGAUUGUGGACACCGUCUUUGAGCAGCGUGUACUACCUACAUCGGAUGAACUGCAGCAAGAACUUGAUGACCUGGGCAUUGAGCUUGAGUAUCCGGCGGCGCACGUCAUUCACAUUAUCCUUGAAGAAGACCCUUUGCUGGAGUUAUGGAACAAAAGAGGACAUCAUGUGUUCCGUGUUGAAGAGGAUAUAUAUAUGUGCAUCUUAUUGAGGAACACAGAAAACAAUAGCAUACAUGCUCGUCUGUAUGUCCUCAAUGUGGAUGAAGAAGCCUCCAUGAUACCAGCUGGUGACAUCGGAAAUAACGCGCUAUUCCUAGGAGCAAAUCAGGCGUUCGUUACAGCUGCCAAUCAGAAUUUGCUUCCCAAUACUGCUUAUGUGGUUGACGAUGACGGUGCAGUUCGAGCCCCCCAGGUAGUAAGAAUCAACUUUGCCACUGGGCAACAUACGGUCAUGGAGUACCCAGCAAACAUUGGACCAGUAAACUCAUACAUGUCGCCCAGUUGGAUCGAGCCACUGCCAGCUGGUCAUUGCAACUAGAUCACUUGUCGUCGACCUGCCAGCAGCGGCUACGGCGAGACCCCAGGUGAGAGCCACUCUCCAUGUCCCAACUUCUUAAUGAUCUCCUAUUGGUGGCAACUAGCAAGAAUAGCCUUCAUUGAAUUUGUUAUGAAUUAUUUGCUGCAUGGCCAUGAUCUUUGAGGUUGUAUUUUAUUGGGGGUGCUAAUCUGCUUGUGCCUGAAACAGUUUACUGAAAUUGCUGUAGUCUGAAAAAUAGUUAACUGAAGCUGUUAGGACAUAAAUGUCUGAAACUGUUGUAGUCUUGUAGAUAACUGCUGUAGUCUGUGGCUAGAUGGUUACUGGGGGAACAGAUCAUUUGAUAACCUUGAUAUGGAAAGUGUUGGUUUCAUGCUACUCACAAUCAACAGAUCAAUUUCAGUACUUCCGUUUGGUACUAUUUGCCACCAGUAAGAACAAUUGUGUGUAAAGCUAGCAAAAGUUAUGGAACUUAAAAGGCCAAAUCUGUUGAUUAAUCUCUUUUUUCAGCCUUAACAGAGAAGAUGGAGUUAGCCGUUCUACUUAGCCCAUUUUUACUUGGGUUGGAUUAACCUGUGAACAAAAUUCAAGUUCCUACAGUAUUAAAUUAAAUCUAGUUUCUGCACACCGUAUUAUUUUCUGGUUUUGCACAUGAGAUGUAUUCUCGGUCUGCUUCCUAAUCUGAUCAUGCUUGUUAUUUUUCUUACUUCCGUAUGAUUUUCUUUGGCAAGAAACUUAAUGCAAAAUGCACAGAUUUUGGUGUAGAGACUAUUUGCUGCAUGAACUUGAUAUCUGGAGUCUUACUUUAGUGGAGUACUAUUCUGAUCAUGUUUGGAAAAAGGAUUUUAUGAUAGGUUUUGUUAGGAUUUUGGAACCUGUCUGAAAAUUAGAAGUAGUUGAAUGGAAAUAGUAGGUGCCAUGUGGACUUAUCAGUGUGUGGACACAUGGCAAAAGAUGGUCUGAAGCUAGUAGAAACUACUGGUUCCACGUUUCUGUUCUUGAUUCAGAUAAUUCGGUUCAUCCAUAUCAUAACAUAGAUGAUACCCCGCACGUUGUUGCGGGAAUAUUUGCAAUACAUUUUGAUGAUAUGUGAUUUUUAUGGAACAUGAAUAGUGAUACUACGAAAACUAAAAUUGCAAAUCCAUAUGCUUUAUUGUGUUUGAUUAAUGUAUUGUAAAAUAUCUAAUAUAUGUUUGCAUGUUGAGGUGGACAUUUUCAUGUGCAUGAAUGCAUGUUGUGGUGGGCUUUUUGCCAUGCAUGUUGCUUGAUGAUGUGGCAUGCUUGCAUGUUGAGAGAAAUGUGUUAGUGGGGGCUAACUAUUUAGAUAUAGAAGAUUUGCCGCUAGUAGAAAUUAUGGAACCUAAAAUGCGAGUAAUUUUGUAACAUUUGCUACGUAGUUCCAUGCACAUUAUAUUGUUUCAGAUUUUUUCUUUUUGACCUUGUUAUAGGUUUUCAGGUUUUGUCAUCUUGAUCUUAUCAUCAUAUUGUUAUUUGUUAUCGGCCUACUGCCUAACUUACUCGUUUAUUUCUGCUAAUUCAGCCUAUGAUGUGCUGCGACACCCGAAUGUUGACGUGGAGUAGAGCAAGAUCAGAGCAGGAGUCCUUUCAGUUCACCUCUUCUUGAGUGUCAUCACCCUGGACACAAUGACAGCAGAACUGGAGCCUACUUUUGCAUGUAGAUAGAUAUGGGUUCAGAAAACUCAGCAGCCCUCGUGCUUCUUCUGCUAGCUAAACUUGCUCCGAUCUCCUGACAGGACAGGGGGAACCCCUGUCUGUCUGUUUUGGCUCCGCUCUCCUUUUGGAUGAUGGAUGCAUUUUGCAUUAAUGGAGAAUGCAGUGGUUCUUGCACUGAGAUGAUGGUCCUGUAUUUCUUUUAGAUGAUGCAUUUCAUAUAUAUAACAAAUGCAGUUGGUUCUUCCAGUGAGCUGACGAUACUGUGUUUCGUUGCCCCCGUUUUCAUUUUGCUUUUCAUUGUAGGGGUUCUUGCAAUGAGUCGAUGAUCCUGCAAAUUUUUUUAGAGAUGCAUUUUGCUUGAAUGGAAAAUGCAUCCUGCAAUGUGUUUCUUUUACACUAUGCAUUCGGUAUGAAUGAAAAAUGUAGCGGGUUCUUCAUUUGAGCUGGUGAUUGUGUUUUCAGUUGUGCUGUUUUUAGUGUCUCGUGUGUUGUUGUGAUGCCGAGCACCUGAAUUCUGAACGAGGGAGGCCACAGAUGACACCUACAUUUUGCCGUUCAUUGAUGUCCUCACUUCUUAGGCAACUGACUCAGUUGGAUCGAGUGCAGUAGUAUUUCACUGUACAGAAGUUAGAUGCUGUACAUGUUAACUGAAUUCGAGUAGAAUUCUUAAUCACCACUCCAUUCGUUCCUAAAUAUAAGUCUUUCUAAAGAUUUCAAUGCGGAUUACAUACGGAGCAAAAUGAGUGAAACUACACUCCAAUAUAUGUCUAUAUACAUAGGAACGUAGUUCUUAUUGAAAUCUCUAGAAAGACUUAUAUUUAGGAACGGAGGGAAUAUUUUAUAUGAACGUAGGAGACUUUACAUCUAACUGAAUUAAUCUCUUUUCAGUCUUAACCGAGAAGAUGGAGUUAUCCGUUCUAUUUAGCCCAUUUUUACUUGAAUUCAAGUUCCUACAAUACUAAAUUAAAUCUAGUUUCUGCACACCAUAUUAUUUUCUGGUUUUGCACAUGAGAUGUAUUCUCGAUCUUGUUAUUUUUCUUACUCCGUAUUAUUUUGUAAAACUCUGAGAUUUGGAUUGUUGAUCUGCUUCCUACUGAUGAUAUUCUUUGGCAAGAAAUAGGCUGGUGGUCUUGAAAUCUGUUGAUGCAAAAUGCACAGAUGUUGGUGUAGAGACUAUUUGCUGCAUCAACAUGAUAUCUGGAGUCUUACUUUAGUGGAGUGCUAAUCUGAUCAUGCUUGGAAAAAGGAUUUUAUGGUAGGUUUUGUUAGGAUUUUGGAACUCGUCUGAAAAAUAGAAGUAGUUGAAUGGAAAUAGUAGGUGCCAUGUGGACUUAUCAGUGUGUGGACUGUGGACACAUGGCAAAAGAUGGUCUGAAGCUAGUAGAAACUACUGGUUCCACAUUUCUGUUCUUGAUUCAGAUAAUUCAGUUCGUCCAUUUUGUAACAUUUGCUGCUAGUAGAAAUUAUGGAACAUAAAAGGCUAGUCAUUUUGUAACAUUUGCUGUGUAGUUCCUUGCACAUUAUAUAGUUUCAGGUUUUGUCUUUUUGACCUUGUUAUAGGUUUUCAGUUUUGUUGUCUUGAUCUUAUCAUCCCUUAUAUUAUUAUUUGUUUUCGUUCUUCAGCCUAACUUACUCAUUUAUUUCUGCUAAUUCAGCCUACAAUGCGCUGCGCCACCUGAAUGUUCACGCAGAGUAGAGCAAGAUCAGAGCAGGAGUCCUGUCAGUUCACCUCUUCUGAAGUUUCGGCACCUCGGACACAAUGACAGCAGAACUGGACGCCUACUUUUGCAUAUAUAUAUAUAUAUAGAUAUGGGUUCAGAAAACUCAGCAGCCCUCGUGCUUCUUCUGCUAGCUAAACUUGCUCCGAUCUCCUGACAGGACAGCGGGAACCCUUGUCUGUCUGUCUGUUUUGGCGUCGCGUUCCUUUUGGAUGAUGGACGCAUUUUGCAUUAAUGGAAUACACAGUGGUUCUUGCAGUGUGAUAAUGAUCCUGUGAUUCUCUUAGGUGAUGAAUUUCGGUUAUACAAAAAAUGCAGCUGGAUCUUCCAUUGAGCUGCCGAUAUUGUUUUUCGUUGCGCCCGGUUUCAUCUCGUGUUUCCAGUUUCUUGCAAUGAGUCGAUGAUCCUGGAACUUUUUCAGUUUCUUUUAGGCCACUCAUUCGGCGUAAAUGAAAAAUGUAGUGGGUUCUUCCUGGGAGCUGGUGAUCGUGUUUUCAGUUGCGCUGCUUUUAGUGUCUCGUGUGUUGUUUUGAUGCCUAGCACCUGAAUUCUGAACGAGGCCACAGAUGUCACCUGAAUUUUCUGUCUGGCCGCCAACUAUAUAUGAACGUAUAUAGGAGACUGAAUUCAGGUGCAACUAUAUGAGACUGUACAACUAACUAAACUGAUCACUCCACGUAUGCAUAUUCAACUCUAUUUCGGAUAGAAAGAAACUGUCGGCGCAGGACGCUGCUUCGGUGCCUUAAUUGCACAUGCCUUUGGGUCAGUGACAUGUGGGCCAGCCGGCUGUUGGACCCACUUGUCAGUGGCCCAAAGACACCUGCAGUUAUGGCAGGGAAGCUCAGUCCGUCGGCGCGGUAUACCUUACAGGCGUGCUGCAUACCGAGUCCAUAUGAUGGUAGACAUUUGGGACCCGCACCCAGUCGUGCAAGAGUAAACACUGGAAGGAGAUAAGGAUGUACUCUACUCGCUAAGAACAACUCCAACAGAUCCAGUAUCCGUAAAAAAAAAUCUACCGUUUAGAGGAAGUCUGUGCCAAAAAUCGUACCCAAGAUAUGCCGUACGUGGAAUAAUUUAUCAAUUUGACUAAUUCACAUCUGGAUGUUUUUUAAGGAUAUCACAUCUAAGCUAUCACAAAUAUAUAAUGCAGCAACAAGAAACAAAAAAAAAACUAGCACAAAAAAAGAUCACAAAAAGAUGUGGCAUAGUUAUGUCACAUCUAGAUGUGUCCUAACAGACCCAUAAUUUAUAGGAUCCUNNNNNNNNNNNNNNNNNNNNNNNNNNNNNNNNNNNNNNNNNNNNNNNNNNNNNNNNNNNNNNNNNNNNNNNNNNNNNNNNNNNNNNNNNNNNNNNNNNNNNNNNNNNNNNNNNNNNNNNNNNNNNNNNNNNNNNNNNNNNNNNNNNNNNNNNNNNNNNNNNNNNNNNNNNNNNNNNNNNNNNNNNNNNNNNNNNNNNNNNNNNNNNNNNNNNNNNNNNNNNNNNNNNNNNNNNNNNNNNNNNNNNNNNNNNNNNNNNNNNNNNNNNNNNNNNNNNNNNNNNNNNNNNNNNNCCCGCCUCCGCCACUACCCCCCACCCCACCGCAGACGCGCCGCCAGGACGCCGCCCCGCAUCACCACACCACCUCUCGCCCGCGGCAACCGCAUUGCCUCAUGCCGCCCUCGCCGGAGGCCAUCACACGUGUCACUGACCGGCGGGCCAUAGGCCAUUAUCUAAUUUUGUUUAAUAAAAAAAUAAAAAUAGAUUUAGGGGAAGAAGUUUUACGGGAGCUGACAAAAUUAGCUUUAGAAAACUUUCCCUAAAAUUAUAGGUAUCCUUAUAGGAGAUAUUUAGAGGAGCUGUUGGAGUUGCUCUAAGUUCGGGAUUGUGUUGUUAUAGGAGAUAUUUUCAUCAUGUCUCCCCGAAGAUAGCUAGCUUAUUACCGCAGAUAUUAGCCCAUACAAAGGUCCCGACGGCCGCCGCCAAAGGAUCACCCGCUCUCUUCGUACAUCCAAUGUACCCAUUCCAAUCUCAAUAGGAAAGAGUUAAUUGCAAAAAACCACCACAUUUAGGGCAUCGAUUGCAGAAAAUCACUUAGUCCCUAAUUUUGUGCAAAAAUCAUCGCGUUUCCAGUAAACUUUUUGCAAAUUGCACUGAUCGAGUGAUUUGUUCCAUUUAACCACUUUCUGACAAGUGGGGCUAGAUUGUAAGAGCAAAAUUUUUACACACACCCCCCAGCCCCCACCCCCCGGCCAGAGGCGCGCUGGCCGUCGGUUUCCUGCUGCCGGCCACCGAGUGCUCGUGCUCCAGCGGCUUCGGAGGUCAACGUCCAAAGACGCUGCUUGCUCCAGUCUUGUGCUUUGUGGCCGCAGCUUGCUUGUGCCCCGCCGCUGAUGCUUGCGCCCCGCCGCUCCUAUUCGUGCCUGAGCUGCGCGCUGCUGCUUGCGGCCCCGCUGCACGCCGCCGCGCUGCUGCUUGCGGCCGCGCUGCACGCCGCCGCGCUGCUGCCGCCAGCUGAAAGGAAGCGGCAAGCACCUUGGCCCAGGCCGCAGCGGUGGUGCAGUUGGGCGGCGAGCACCUUGGGCCAGCCGGCCAGGGCGCCGGCCGUGGCCCUGCCGUCCAGAGCUAGCAGCGCGAGCUCGAUUGCUGCUCGUGGUCUUGAACGCCGGCGGCGCCUUGCCCUGCCGUGGCCGCGCCUCCAGCCCCCGACCACGGACGAGGCCGCCGUGAUUCUCUGGGCCGCCAUCGUGACCCUUCCGCUCCGGCGAGGACGAGCUCCUGCACGUCAUGACCCUUCCGCUUCGGCGAGGCGAGGCGCGACGUAGAGAUGAGGAGGGAUGCCGCCCCGCCCACGAGGCAAGGCCAGGGAGGAGGGAGGCCGUCCCGCCGGAGGCUGCCUCGCCGUGGCCAGCCACCACCUCAGAGGAGGAAGGCGGCGGGGGUGGGAGGGGGGCUGAUUGCUUUUUUCAUUUUUUUGAAUAAGGGUGUCUUUGUGAAAUUCAGGGAGGUGUAGGUCAACUUUUUACUAAAUCAUCUCCUUAUAAUCCGGCCCCACUUGUCAGAAAGUGAUCAGUCAGGCUAAAUCACCUGGUCAGUGCAAUUUGCAAAAAAAUUACUAGAAACACGGUGAUUUUUGCACAAAAUUAGGGACUAGGUGCUUUUCUGCAAUCGAUGCCCCAAAUGUGGUGGUUUUUUUGCAAUUGUCUCCAAUAGGAAGACUACAAGCAUUACAUAGUGCUAUUACACAUCUGAAGCCUGGACCUUGGUAAAACCACCAUGUCUUUGAUUUUAGUUACAAGAUUCCUUCGGAAGCUUCCUCGUUAGAUCGGCGAUGAAUCAAUCAUUGGCAUUUGGAGCCCUUGUGGGGCCCAAACAGAUCUUGCCCGUGGUGUCACUCUUGAACUAUGUGAUCUUUCCUACCUUGGUGUUUCCAAGCAAGGCAUCUACUUUGACUCCGUUCGUGCCCAAGAAAGGGAGGUGGGACAACUCGAUGGUGGUCUUGUGACAUUACCUCAUGUCCCUACCGACUUGUUCUACAGCUCAGAUGAGCCAGUUCUCCUGCACGGUCUUUAUGGGAAAAAAGGCUAAGGGCUCGAGCUAGAAUUUGGAGAUUGAGAGUGGAGCUGUAAAGAUGGAACAAGAGCGACAAAGAGGUCGUAAAGGCCUCGAUAGCGCCCACCCACUUUGAGGUUCGAAACUCCAACACACAAGCAAGCUUGCGAAGGGGAGGGGGUACUCGAACGCCCCCAUGUGUCGGCCCUCAAGUUCUCCUUUAGUGUGGUGAUUGGUCGCUGAUUACCUUUACUCCAGUUGUUGCCAUUGUUGGGUUUCGUAGUAAUUUCAAAAAAAUUCCUACGCACACGCAAGAUCAUGUGAUGCAUAGCAACGAGAGGGGAGAGUGCUGUCUACGUACCCACGCAGACCGACUGCGGAAGCGUUGACACAAUGUAGAGGAAGUAGUCGUACGUCUUCACGAUCCAACCGAUCAAGCACCGAAACUACGGCACCUCCGAGUUCGAGCACACGUUCAGCUCGAUGACGAUCCCCGGACUCCGAUCCAGCAAAGUGUCGGGGAAGAGUUCCGUCAGCACGACGGCGUGGUGACGAUCUUGAUGUACUACAGCAGCAGGGCUUCGCCUAAACUCCGCUACAGUAUUAUCGAGGACUAUGAUGGCUGGGGCGCCGCACACGGCUAAGGAAUAGAUCACGUGGAUCAACUUGUGUGUUCUAGGGUGCCUCUGCCUCAGUAUAUAAAGGACUAGAGGGGGGAGGCUGGCCGGCCAAGGUGUGGCGCGCCAGGAGAGUCCUACUCCCUCUGGGAGUAGGAUUCCCCCCCCCCCCCCAAUCCUAGUUGGAAUAGGAUUCGCGGAGGGGGAAAAGAGAGAGAGGGGGCCGGCCACCUCUCCUAGUCCUAAUAGGACUAGGGGAAGGGGGAGGCACGCAGCCCAUGUAGGGCUGCCUCUUCUCUUUUCCACUAAGGCCCAUCAUGGCCCAUUUAGCUCCCGGGGGGUUCCGGUAACCUUCCCGGUACUCCGGUAAAAUCCCGAUUUUACCCGGAACACUUCCGAUAUCCAAACAUAGGCUUCCAAUAUAUCAAUCUUUACGUCUCGACCAUUUCGAGACUCCUCGUCAUGUCCGUGAUCAUAUCCGGGACUCCGAACAACCUUUGGUACAUCAAAAUGCAUAAACUCAUAAUAUAAUUGUCAUCGUAACCUUAAGCGUGCGGACCCUACGGGUUUGAGAACAAUGUAAACAUGACCGAGACAUGUCUCCGGUCAAUAACCAAUAGCGGGACCUGGAUGCCCAUAUUGGCUCCUACAUAUUCUACGAAGAUCUUUAUCGGUCAGACCGCAUAACAACAUACGUUGUUCCCUUUGUCAUCGGUAUGUUACUUGCCCGAGAUGCGAUCGUCGGUAUCCCAUACCUAGUUCAAUCUCGUUGCCGGCAAGUCUCUUUACUCGUUCUGUAAUACAUCAUCCCGCAACUAACUCAUUAGUUGCAAUGCUUGCAAGGCUUAUGUGAUGUGCAUUACCGAGAGGGCCCAGAGAUCCUCCGACAAUCGGAGUGACAAAACCUAAUCUCGAAAUACGCCAACCCAACAUGUACCUUUGGAGACACCUGUAGUACUCCUUUAUAAUCACCCAGUUACGUUGUGACGUUUGGUAGUACCCAAAGUGUUCCUCCGGUAAACGGGAGUUGCAUAAUCUCAUAGUUAUAGGAACAUGUAUAAGUCAUGAAGAAAGCAAUAGCAACAUACUAAACGAUCGGGUGCUAAGCUAAUGGAAUGGGUCAUGUCAAUCAGAUCAUUCUCUUAAUGAUGUGAUCCCGUUAAUCAAAUAACAACUCAUUGUUCAUGGUUAGGAAACAUAACCAUCUUUGAUUAACGAGCUAGUCAAGUAGAGGCAUACUAGUGACACUUUGUUUGUCUAUGUAUUCACACAUGUAUUAUGUUUCCCAUUAAUACAAUUCUAGCAUGAAUAAUAAACAUUUAUCAUGAUUACAAGGAAAUAAAUAAUAACUUUAUUAUUGCCUCUAGGGCAUAUUUCCUUCAGUCUCCCACUUGCACUAGAGUCAAUAAUCUAGAUUACACCGUAAUGAUUCUAACACCCAUGGAGCCUUGGUGCUGAUCAUGUUUUGCUCGUGGUAGAGGCUUAGUCAACGGGUCUGCAACAUUCAGAUCCGUAUGUAUCUUACAAAUCUCUAUGUCUCCCACCUGGACUAGAUCCCGGAUGGAAUUGAAGCGUCUCUUGAUGUGCUUGGUUCUCUUGUGAAAUCUGGAUUCCUUUGCCAAGGCAAUUGCACCAGUAUUGUCACAAAAGAUUUUCAUUGGACCCGAUGCACUAGGUAUGACACCUAGAUCGGAUAUGAACUCCUUCAUCCAGACUCCUUCGUUCGCUGCUUCCGGAGCAACUAUGUACUCCGCUUCACAUGUAGAUCCUGCUACGACGCUUUGUUUAGAACUGCACCAACUGACAGCUCCACCGUUUAAUGUAAACACGUAUCCGGUUUGCGAUUUAGAAUCGUCCGGAUCAGUGUCAAAGCUUGCAUCAACGUAACCAUUUACGACGAGCUCUUUGUCACCUCCAUAUACGAGAAACAUAUCCUUAGUCCUUUUCAGGUAUUUCAGGAUGUUCUUGACUGCUGUCCAGUGAUCCACUCCUGGAUUACUUUGGUACCUCCCUGCUAAACUUAUAGCAAGGCACACAUCAGGUCUGGUACACAGCAUUGCAUACAUGAUAGAUCCUAUCGCUGAUGCAUAGGGAACAUCUUUCAUAUUCUCUCUAUCUUCUGCAGUGGUCGGGCAUUGAGUCUUACUCAAUUUCACACCUUGUAACACAGGCAAGAAUCCUUUCUUUGCUUGAUCCAUUUUGAACUUCUUCAAAAUUUUGUCAAGGUAUGUUGAAUUAAGCGUUUUGAUCUAUCUCUAUAGAUCUUUAUGCCUAAUAUGUAAGCAGCUUCACCGAGGUCUUUCAUUGAAAAACUCUUAUUCAAGUAUCCCUUUAUGCUAUCCAGAAAUUCUAUAUCAUUUCCAAUCAGUAAUAUGUCAUCCACAUAUAAUAUCAGAAAUGCUACAGAGCUCCCACUCACUUUCUUGUAAAUACAGACUUCACCGAAAGUCUGUAUAAAACCAAAUGCUUUGAUCACACUAUCAAAGCGUUUAUUCCAACGCCGAGAGGCUUGCACCAGUCCAUAAAUGGAUCGCUGGAGCUUGCACACUUUGUUAGCUCCCUUUGGAUCGACAAAACCUUCUGGUUGCAUCAUAUACAACCCUUCUUCCAGAAAUUCAUUCAGGAAUGCAGUUUUGACAUCCAUCUGCCAAAUUUCAUAAUCAUAAAAUGCGGCAAUUGCUAACAUGAUUCGGACAGACUUAAGCAUCGCUACAGGUGAGAAGGUCUCAUCGUAGUCAACCCCUUGAACUUGCCGAAAACCUUUUGCGACAAGUCGAGCUUUGUAGACAGUAAUAUUACCGUCAGCGUCAGUCUUCUUCUUGAAGAUCCAUUUAUUCUCAAUUGCUUGCCGAUCAUCGGGCAAGUCAACCAAAGUCCAUACUUUGUUCUCAUACAUGGAUCCCAUCUCAGAUUUCAUGGCUUCAAGCCAUUUUGCGGAAUCUGGGCUUACCAUUGCUUCUUCAUAGUUCGUAGGUUCAUCAUGAUCUAGUAGCAUGACUUCCAGAACAGGAUUACCGUACCACACUGGCGCGGAUCUCACUCUGGUUGAUCUACGAGGUUCAGUAGUAUCUUGAUCUGAAGUUUCAUGAUCAUUAUCAUUAGCUUCCUCACUAACUGGUGUAGGUGUCACUGAAACAGUUUUCUGUGAUGUACUACUUUCCAAUAAGGGAGCAGGUAUAGUUACCUCGUCAAGUUCUACUUUCCUCCCACUCACUUCUUUCGAGAGAAACUCCUUCUCUAGAAAGUUUCCGAAUUUAGCAACAAAAGUCUUGCCUUCGGAUCUGUGAUAGAAAGUGUAUCCAAUAGUUUCCUUCGGAUAUCCUAUGAAGACACAUUUCUCCGAUUUGGGUUCGAGCUUAUCAGGUUGAAGCUUUUUCACAUAAGCAUCGCAGCCCCAAACUUUCAGAAACGACAACUUUGGUUUCUUGCCAAACCACAGUUCAUAAGGCGUCGUCUCAACGGAUUUUGAUGGUGCCCUAUUUAACGUGAAUGUGGUCGUCUCUAGAGCGUAUCCCCAAAACGAUAGCGGUAAAUCAGUAAGAGACAUCAUAGAUCGCACCAUAUCUAGUAAAGUACGAUUACGACGUUCGGACACACCAUUGCGCUGUGGUGUUCCGGGUGGCAUGAGUUGCGAAACUAUUCCACAAUUUUUCAAAUGUACACCAAACUCGUAACUCAAAUAUUCUCCUCCACGAUCAGAUCAUAGAAGCUUUAUCUUCUUGUUACGAUGAUUUUCAACUUCACUCUGAAAUUCUUUGAACUUUUCAAAUGUUUCAGACUUGUGUUUCAUUAAGUAGAUAUACCCAUAUCUGCUUAAGUCAUCUGUGAAGGUGAGAAAAUAACGAUAUCCGCCACGAGCCUCAAUAUUCAUCGGACCACAUACAUCUGUAUGUAUGAUUUCCAGCAAAUCUGUUGCUCUCUCCAUAGUACCGGAGAACGGUGUUUUAGUCAUCUUGCCCAUGAGGCAUGGUUCCAAGUACCAAGUGAUUCAUAAUCAAGUGGUUCCAAAAGUCCAUCAGUAUGGAGUUUCUUCAUGCGCUUUACACCGAUAUGACCUAAACGACAGUGCCACAAAUAAGUUGCACUCUCAUUAUCAACUCUGCAUCUUUUGGCUUCAACAUUAUGAAUAUGUGUGUUACUACUAUCGAGAUUCAACAAGAAUAGACCACUCUUCAAGGGUGCAUGACCAUAAAAGAUAUUACUCAUAUAAAUAGAACAACCAUUAUUCUCUGAUUUAAAUGAAUAACCGUCUCGCAUCAAACAAGAUCUAGAUAUAAUGUUCAUGCUUAACGCUGGCACCAAAUAACAAUUAUUUAGGUCUAAUACUAAUCCCGAAGGUAGAUGUAGAGGUAGCGUGCCGACUGCGAUCACAUUGACUUUGGAACCGUUUCCCACGCGCAUCGUCACCUCGUCCUUAACCAAUCUUCGCUUGAUCCUAGUCCCUGUUUCGAGUUGCAAAUAUUAGCAACAGAACCAGUAUCAAAUACCCAGGUGCUACUGCGAGCAUUAGUAAGGUACACAUCAAUAACAUGUAUAUCACAUAUACCUUUGUUCACCUUGCCAUCCUUCUUAUCCGCCAAAUACUUGGGGCAGUUCCGCUUCCAGUGACCAGUCUGCUUGCAAUAGAAGCACUCAGUUUCAGGCUUAGGUCCAGGUUUGGGUUUCUUCUCUUGAGUAGCAACUUGCUUGCCGUUCUUUUUGAAGUUCCCCUUCUUCUUCCCUUUGCCCUUUUUCUUGAAACUAGUGGUCUUGUUGACCAUCAACACUUGAUGCUCCUUCUUGAUUUCUACCUCCGCAGCUUUCAGCAUCGCGAAGAGCUCGGGAAUAGUCUUGUUCAUCCCUUGCAUAUUAUAGCUCAUCACGAAGCUCUUGUAGCCUGGUGGCAGUGAUUGAAGAAUUCUGUCGAUGACGCAAUCAUCUGGGAGAUUAACUCCCAAUUGAAUCAAGUGAUUAUUAUACCCAGACAUUUUGAGUAUAUGCUCACUAACAGAACUGUUCUCCUCCAUCUUACAGCUAUAGAACUUAUUGGAGACUUCAUAUCUCUCAAUCCGGGCAUUUGCUUGAAAUAUUAACUUCAACUCCUGGAACAUCUCAUAUGCUCCAUGACGUUCAAAACGUCGUUGAAGUCCCGAUUCUAAUUCGUAAAGCAUGGCACACUGAACUAUCGAGUAGUCAUCAACUUUGCUCUGCCAGACGUUCAUAACAUCCGGCGUUGCUCCUGCAGCAGGCCUGGCACCCAGCGGUGCUUCCAGGACGUAAUUCUUCUGUGCAGCAAUGAGGAUAAUCCUCAAGUUACAGACCCAGUCCGUGUAAUUGCUACCAUCAUCUUUCAACUUUGCUUUCUCAAGGAACGCACUAAAAUUCAACGGAACAACAACACGAGCCAUCUAUCUACAAUCAAGCAUAAACAAGCAAGAUACUAAUCAGGUACUAAGUUUCAUGAUAAAUUUAAGUUCAGUUAAUCAAUUUAAUUAAAGAACUCCCACUUAGAUAGACAUCCCUCUAAUCCUCUAAGUGAUUACGUGAUCCAAAUCAACUAAACCAUAACCGAUCAUCACGUGAGAUGGAGUAGUUUUCAAUGGUGAACAUCGUUAUGUUGAUCAUAUCUACCAUAUGAUUCACGCUCGACCUUUCGGUCUCCGUGUUCCGAGGCCAUAUCUGUAUAUGCUUGGCUCGUCAAGUAUAACCUGAGUAUUCCGCGUGCGCACCUGUUUUGCACCCGUUGUAUUUGAAUGUAGAACCUAUCACACCCGAUCAUCACGUGGUGUCUCAGCACGAAGAACUUUCGCAACGGUGCAUACUCAGGGAGAACACUUCUUGAUAAUUUAGUGAGAGAUCAUCUUAUAAUGCUACCGUCAAUCAAAGCAAGAUAAGAUGCAUAAAAGGAUAAACAUCACAUGCAAUCAAUAUAAGUGAUAUGAUAUGGCCAUCAUCAUCUUAUGCUUGUGAUCUCCAUCUCCGAAGCACCGUCGUGAUCACCAUCGUCACCGGCGUGACACCUUGAUCUCCAUCGUAGCAUCGUUGUCGUCUCGCCAAGCUCGUACUUCUACGACUAUCGCAACCGCUUAGUGAUAAAAGUAAAGCAUUACAUCGCGAUUGCAUUGCAUACAAUAAAACGACAACCAUAAGGCUCCUGCCAGUUGCCGAUAACUCGGUUACAAAACAUGAUCAUCUCAUACAAUAAAAUUCAGCAUCAUGUCUUGACCAUAUCACAUCACAACAUGCCCUGCAAAAACAAGUUAGACGUCCUCUACUUUGUUGUUGCAAGUUUUACGUGGCUGCUACGGGCUUAAGCAAGAACCAAUCUCACCUACGCAUCAAAACCACAAUGAUAGUUUGUCAAAUAGACUCCGUUUUAACCUUCGCAAGGACCGGGCGUAGUCACACUUGGUUCAACUAAAGUUGGAGAGACAGUCGCCCGCAAGCCACCUAUGUGCGAAGCACGUCAGGGGAACCGGUCUCGCGUAAGCGUACGCGUAAUGUUGGUCCGGGUCGUCUCAACCAACAAUGCCGCCGAACCAAAGUAUGACAUGCUGGUAGGCAGUAUGACUUAUAUCGCCCACAACUCACUUCUGUUCUACUCGUGCAUAUAACAUCAACAUAAAUAACCUAGGCUCGGAUGCCACUGUUGGGUUUCGUAGUAAUUUCAGAAAAUUUCCUACGCACACGCAAGAACAUGUGAUGCAUAGCAACGAGAGGGGAGAGUGUUGUCUACGUACCCACGCAGACCGACUGCGGAAGCGUUGACACAACGUAGAGGAAGUAGUCGUACGUCUUCACGAUCCAACCGAUCAAGCACCGAAACUACGGCACCUCCGAGUUCGAGCACAUGUUCAGCUCGAUGACGAUCCCCGGACUCCGAUCCAGCAAAGUGUCGGGGAAGAGUUCCGUCGGCACGACGGCGUGGUGACGAUCUUGAUGUACUACAGCAGCAGGGCUUCGCCUAAACUCCGCUACAGUAUUAUCGAGGACUAUGGUGGCUGGGGGCGCCGCACACGGCUAAGGAAUAGAUCACGUGGAUCAACUUGUGUGUUCUAGGGUGCCUCUGCCUCAGUAUAUAAAGGACUAGAGGGGGGAGGCUGGCCGGCCAAGGUGUGGCGCGCCAGGAGAGUCCUACUCCCUCUGGGAGUAGGAUCCCCCCCCCCAAUCCUAGUUGGAAUAGGAUUCGCGGAGGGGGAAAAGAGAGAGAGGGGGCCGGCCACCUCUCCUAGUCCUAAUAGGACUAGGGGAAGGGGGAGGCGCGCAGCCCAUGUAGGGCUGCCUCUUCUCUUUUCCACUAAGGCCCAUCAUGGCACAUUUAGCUCCCGGGGGGUUCCGGUAACCUUCCCGGUACUCCGGUAAAAUCCCGAUUUUACCCGGAACACUUCCGAUAUCCAAACAUAGGCUUCCAAUAUAUCAAUCUUUACGUCUCGACCAUUUCGAGACUCCUCGUCAUGUCCGUGAUCACAUCCGGGACUCCGAACAACCUUCGGUACAUCAAAAUGCAUAAACUCAUAAUAUAACUGUCAUCGUAACCUUAAGCGUGCGGACCCUACGGGUUCGAGAACAAUGUAGACAUGACCGAGACAUGUCUCCGGUAAAUAACCAAUAGCGGGACCUGGAUGCCCAUAUUGGCUCCUACAUAUUCUACGAAGAUCUUUAUCGGUUAGACCGCAUAACAACAUACGUUGUUCCCUUUGUCAUCGGUAUGUUACUUGCCCGAGAUGCGAUCGUCGGUAUCCCAUACCUAGUUCAAUCUCGUUGCCGGCAAGUCUCUUUACUCGUUCUGUAAUACAUCAUCCCGCAACUAACUCAUUAGUUGCAAUGCUUGCAAGGCUUAUGUGAUGUGUAUUACCGAGAGGGCCCAGAGAUACCUCUCCGACAAUCGGAGUGACAAAACCUAAUCUCGAAAUACGCCAACCCAACAUGUACCUUUGGAGACACCUAUAGUACUCCUUUAUAAUCACCCAGUUACGUUGUGACGUUUGGUAGUACCCAAAGUGUUCCUCCGGUAAACGGGAGUUGCAUAAUCUCAUAGUUAUAGGAACAUGUAUAAGUCAUGAAGAAAGCAAUAGCAACAUACUAAACGAUCGGGUGCUAAGCUAAUGGAAUGGGUCAUGUCAAUCAGAUCAUUCUCUUAAUGAUGUGAUCCCGUUAAUCAAAUAACAACUCAUUGUUCAUGGUUAGGAAACAUAACCAUCUUUGAUUAACGAGCUAGUCAAGUAGAGGCAUACUAGUAACACUUUGUUUGUCUAUGUAUUCACACAUGUAUUAUGUUUCCGGUUAAUACAAUUCUAGCAUGAAUAAUAAACAUUUAUCAUGAUUAUAAGGAAAUAAAUAAUAAAUUUAUUAUUGCCUCUAGGGCAUAUUUCCUUCAGCCAUUGCGGGGGCCAUGGGCACCAAUGCAUCACCGGCCAUUGCUUGCACUAGUAACACACCUUCAGCCACUUCUUGCCAGGUGGUCUUUGGCGAGAAGCUGGCGACGCUUGAAGAUUAAAAAGCCCUCGGGCUUGAGGCCUUCAUCGGCAAGAGAUGAGGGUUGAAGUGGAGGUUGUGGCCUAUUCAAGUCAAAGAGGAGAAUGACGGUAUAACAUCCGGGUUAAUAGGAUUGAUAGACUACUCAUAUCAACAAGGUGCAUCUUCUUUCCUAGAAGAUUGUCUCCAAAGAAGCUCCAAGUUAAUCGUGCUUGCCUUGGGGUAAUUUGAGAAUCGUUGAACAACUUAGAAGUUGAUCCGGUCUGCACUAGUGAGUACAAAGUUGGCAAAAGACUAGUAUUGGUCUAUGGGGCCAGUCUAAAUCCCAGGUGGUAGCCACGCAAAGUGCGUAAAAAAGACUAAUUUUGGUCUGUGAGGCCUAGUCUAAAUCUCAGGUGGUAGCCAGGUGUAGCGGCCUUAGACCCGGUAGCCAAUCCGAGGCAUUACAGGCUGGCUAGCGAAGGUUCGGGAGACAUAGAGGUUGCAUUAGUCUCCGGUCACACGAUUGCCAUAACCAGGGAGGCUCUCCUUUAUCAGUGACCUUGUUCAUGGAACUAUAUAUCUAACAAAUCAGGAAUGAAAGCCAACAUGGCAAUUAUUGGGAAGUUCUUAGGUGACUUUCGUUCUGUAAACUUUGUGGGUAGGCUCUGAUGCAUCAUAGUGAGCACGGGUGGGGUGUCUCCGGUCAGAGGAAGGUUCAACACAUGUGUGCAUGUAUAGGCAAGGCGUCAUCAAANNNNNNNNNNNNNNNNNNNNNNNNNNNNNNNNNNNNNNNNNNNNNNNNNNNNNNNNNNNNNNNNNNNNNNNNNNNNNNNNNNNNNNNNNNNNNNNNNNNNNNNNNNNNNNNNNNNNNNNNNNNNNNNNNNNNNNNNNNNNNNNNNNNNNNNNNNNNNNNNNNNNNNNNNNNNNNNNNNNNNNNNNNNNNNNNNNNNNNNNNNNNNNNNNNNNNNNNNNNNNNNNNNNNNNNNNNNNNNNNNNNNNNNNNNNNNNNNNNNNNNNNNNNNNNNNNNNNNNNNNNNNNNNNNNNNNNNNNNNNNNNNNNNNNNNNNNNNNNNNNNNNNNNNNNNNNNNNNNNNNNNNNNNNNNNNNNNNNNNNNNNNNNNNNNNNNNNNNNNNNNNNNNNNNNNNNNNNNNNNNNNNNNNNNNNNNNNNNNNNNNNNNNNNNNNNNNNNNNNNNNNNNNNNNNNNNNNNNNNNNNNNNNNNNNNNNNNNNNNNNNNNNNNNNNNNNNNNNNNNNNNNNNNNNNNNNNNNNNNNNNNNNNNNNNNNNNNNNNNNNNNNNNNNNNNNNNNNNNNNNNNNNNNNNNNNNNNNNNNNNNNNNNNNNNNNNNNNNNNNNNNNNNNNNNNNNNNNNNNNNNNNNNNNNNNNNNNNNNNNNNNNNNNNNNNNNNNNNNNNNNNNNNNNNNNNNNNNNNNNNNNNNNNNNNNNNNNNNNNNNNNNNNNNNNNNNNNNNNNNNNNNNNNNNNNNNNNNNNNNNNNNNNNNNNNNNNNNNNNNNNNNNNNNNNNNNNNNNNNNNNNNNNNNNUUGCCCUUGCUAGUUGUUUCCUGCAACAAAAGGUCCUCAAAACCAACGAGAGAUUCAACCGAGCGAACUCUGUGAAGCCUCCAGACUGAGAGAAACCACAAAAAAUGCCAUUAAGGACAAAACCUAGCAAAUAUACUACUCCCUCCAUUUGGUUUUAUUGGUCCAAAUAGUUGAAACAUAAAGACCAAGAAGGUGCACGCGGGCAGAUACUUGGGUAGUAAAUCUGAUAAUUGUGCUCCUUAAUGUCCUCGACUUAUUAUCCUAUGAACUAAACUACACCCACAACAGUUACCAUGCACGUGCGGCUUGGAUUCAUGUCCAGUUAGGAAAGCGCAUGUGUGGGCUUUCCAGCAAGUGGCGUAGGAAUUGAGUGGUUGGAGAAAUAACUAACACAUUAUUAAUGCAACGGCCUAAAAAAGGUACAACAUUUGGUGGUCCUCCGGCCCAAUAAUCCUGGACAUAGGAAUACGAAGCUACAUGAAUAGGUGGGAUCCACAUCCUACUUGUCAUGAACUAAGGCUUGUGAGAAGAGGCGAGGAGCCGAUAGGUGGAGAUACGUAGGGGUCUAGGGGAGGAAACAUGGCGGAGUGAACAUGUAAGGAAAAUGUGGUAUCUGGCAAUACUAGUUUAGGAGUGUAGACUGUAGUACGCCGUGCAGGUUGGGCCUUAGGGUCUUCUUCGUAUUUUUCAUUUUUCAUUUCGAUCUAUCUACAAUGAAGGUUAGCUAACUGCUACCUAGUUACAUGAAUAUGUGGGAUCCUCACCCUACUCGCCGUCGGCUUAGGAUGGAGAGAAAUGGGGGGGGGGGCAAAGGAUGAAGAUCUGGAAGGAUGUAGGGGAGGAAAUGGGAGUGGAGGGAAUGAGAGUAUUCAAUAAUAUUUUAGGAGCAUAGACUGCAAUACACCAUACAAGUUGAGUCUUAGGAACUUCUUUGUGUUUAUUUUAGCGAAUCCAUUGCUUUCCUUGGCAUAUGAAUACACUCCCCCUCCCAAGAAUGCUCUCAUUCCCUCCUUUAUCUCUCAUCCCUCCUUCUCUUACGAGUCACCCAUAGAUAUAACUGACUCAUCUCUCCUUCAGUUGCAGAAGAGGAGGUUGGAGUACAUAGUAAGUCUAGGGCUAGGUCUAGGUUUGCUCAUGUGGCAUCUGGUGUUAUACUACAUAACUUCACUCCUCUACUUGCGAGCGGUAUCGGGUGGUUGCCUCGUUCUUCUUCUGGCCGGCUUCAAUGAUGAGAGCUUCUCUAGUAAGCUUGUAAGUCUAUGAAAGCAGGAUAAUACAAAUUAAUCAUCCAUUUUUCAUCAUCGUCGUGGGGAAGGAAGAUCAGAGGCAUCUGCAUUUUGGCCCUUCAACUAUGGAGCAUUGUGGAGUGACAUGGGUUUGCUUUGUCUGUCUUUGAUCACUGCAACGUCCUUGAGCAUCGGAGUUGAAGAGCAAGUCAACAUAUGUCUCUGAGGGCAUCCAUAGUGUCGAGAGGCAACCUUGCCUCUAUGUUGGGGCCCAUUAGGUGCCUCCAAGUUUCAUAGAAAAGUACGUAACGUAUAGAGGUUGUGGUUGCCUCUUAGAUGGACCCUACAACAUACUAAAAACAGAAGAAAUUUCAGCCUAUUUUAUUCUGCCAAACAUCUCACGCAACUGAUCCUAGAAAUUGCCAUCAGUUUUCUCCACGGAUGUCACUUUUCUCCACUGAUGGCGGGUUUGUCGCCAGAGACAAUGGCGUGUCACAACUUGUCCCUUGUAUCAUCUUUGGAGACAUGUCUACAAAUUUAAGAAAGAGCUUGGUUGUAUUUUUAUUUUUUUUGGCGCAACUGCCCACCUCCUCGGUCCACACACACUCCUGAUCAUCCGGGCAUUGCGCGAGCAGAGGGGAGCAGCACACACCAGGUCACAAACACUUUCAGGAAUCAAGCUACUGGCAACAGAAAUUAGCGAGAUCACGCACGCCAUGCCAGCUCUGCUGGAUCUCAUGGUGGUUCACUCCUCGCCGUCGCCUCGCUUCGCUGGUGCCCCGCGGCCGUGCGCCGCGCUGGUGGUCGACUCGAGGCAUCCGGGCAGGAGAGGGAGCAAUGCCGCCGGUCGUUCCAUGCCUCCGCGCCGGCGUGCUGGGGAGGCGUCGAGGAGCGGCGCUGCCGAUCACGGCCGCGGCCGCCGCCGCGCGUGGACCGCCACGGUCGGGAGUGUGGGCUGGGCCGAGAAGAUGGCCCACAAGCCCAUCUCGUGCCCAAAGCCCGCUACGGCGGUACCUUGAAAUACCCCGCCUUGGCGCCCGAGCGCAACCGCCUCAACCAACAGCGCGCGCCUCUCCUCUUCUCCCCGUCGCCAGAGCGCCGCCGACAAGAAACCAAGAACCCACCAUCCCCGCCUCCUCCGCUAUCCAGCGAUCCAGCGCCGGCGGCGACAGAUGGACCAGUUCCACGACAGGCAGCACGUGCGGCUGCGGAGCCGCGUGCUCGGCACGUACCUGCACGCCGACCACGACGGGGAGCGGGUCUCCCUCAGCCGGCGCCGUGACUCGCUGAACACGGCGUGGGUGGCGCACAUCCACCAACGCGCCGACGGCCCGUACCUGCUCCUCCACAGCGCCGCCUACGGCCGCUACCUCGGCACCACGUUCAAGCCGGCGCCGCUCGGCCACCACGGCUGCCGCACCGAGCAGCGCGACUACAACGACGAGCCGGACCUGAUGUCCGUCAUGUGGAAGGCCGCCGGGGCGGGCUUCGAUGACGUCGUCCUUCUCCGCAACGUCGCCGGCCGCUACCUCCGCGCCAACGGGAGGUACCUCCCCUGGAACACCGGCGUCACCGUCGACAACAUAGGCAACAUCAGCGCCAUGAUGUACUGGACCGUCGAGGACAUCCCCGCCAGAGAGGGUCCGCCUGGCCUCCCAGGCCCGAUCCACGUGAGUUCGCCAUGACCCUGCUUCUUGAAUCUUGAUAACUCUCGAAUUGCUUCUUGAAUCAAUUGAGCGAAUUCUUUGAUCUCCUCAACCUAACCAUGGUGGUUCUUUUGGGCUCAACUGCAGACCCCCAGCCCCGGAUACCACUCCCUCAUGCUCUGGCGCAACCCGGUGGUGUCACGGCUGAUCCGGUUCAUGCUGUCCGAUCCCCACGGUCCCAUCUACACCCAGCACUGCUGGACCACGCUGCGGUUCAGGGGGAGGUCCGUGUUCCACCUGAGGGACGAGCGGGCCACCGGGGGCGUCUGACCCCACUCGUCGUCGACCUGCCCAGCAGCGGCUACGGCGAGACCCUCUGGAUUGUCGUCUUCAUGUCUGGGACCCCAGGUGAGAGCCACUCUCCAUGCCCCAACUUCCUAAUGAUCUCGUUCGUAAUAGUGGUAGUCUUGACUGAAUCUUGAACCAGUUUGCUGAAAAUGUUAUAGUCCGAGGGGAAAGUUUACUGAAAUUGUUGUAGUGGGUAAUUAAAGCGUUAAACGUGUUUGGUGCUCAACAUUAGAGCGAUUUGAACUGCUCGAUCACAAGAUUUGACGGUUGAGAUGGUUUUGAUCUGCCCCUUUGAGUCUUUUUAUAUUGGUAUAGAUAUGGCUGCAUGCAUCGAUUGAUACAGAGGCCGGGGGUAAUCCUCCUUUAAAAAAAUUAAUUGAGUGUGUGCUGCAACGUGGCGAGGGGUGGUCAACCGCGCGGUUAUUAUUCAUUCCCUUGCCCCGGACUGAGGAAGGCCGCUUAUGCACCGGUGAUCACCAGAACGGUCGCAUGUAGGCUACACUACAUCUAACACGAGUCGCUGUUGUCCCGCUUGGAGUCAUUGUUGCUAGGAUUAAAGAGGAGGCGUCACUUUGAAGCAUGGCGGGGGCCAGGCAUUUGAGUAAUAUAAUGCCGCGAGAGUGAUUGUUGUAAUUCGGCCAUGGGCCUUAACCUUUUAAACUUCUUUCUUAAUCAAUGAAAAUGGCAAAUCUUUUGCCGCAUUUCAAAAAAAAAAUAACACGAGUCGCUGCUAGGGUUCUUCAGCCAUUGACCUGAACAUAAUAUUUAGCUGGCAAUUGGGUGAUUUCUUUUCUCAUUUUUUCUGAGGGAGCAAUUGGGUGAUUUCUUGGGCGUACCGCCUUGUUGCCAGAUCCGGUUGCUUCAUCGAAUUUAGACAUUGAUGGAUAUAUGUACACAAGGUACGGGAUAAGCUUGUGGUUGAUCUCCUGAUUAGUGUUUUAUAGUAUUCUGUCUAAUUAAUUGCAUCAAAGGGCGUUUGGUCUAGUGGUAUGAUUCUCGCUUUGGGUGCGAGAGGUCGCGAGUUCGAUUCUCGCAACGCCCCCAUUUCUUUAUUUUUCUUCUGUACAAAAAGCUACAUGUAAAUCAUUUUUUUUCUUCUGUUUUUCGCUUCUUCUGUAGAAAAAUCUACAUAUAAAUCAUUUUCUAUUUAUUUUAUUAAAAAAAAUCUACAUACGAUGGGGAGCAUUACAGUCAUUCAGAAGAAUGUCACAAUGAUACUUAUUAUUUUAGAAGUGUGAUGCAGAUAAUGCUGAAUAGAGGAAGGAGAAACUAUAAUAAGAUUUGCCCUCUUUUAGUUAAGAGAUUAUCUAUUAAAAAAUAUGUCUCGCCACAUUUAGGAAUAUCCCCGUUUUGCACGUAUUUAUCCUUUUUCUAACAAAAAAUCUCAUAGACGUAUAACGUCACAGUCAUCCAUAAUUGUAAGACUAGAAAAACACAUUGUCACAUGCAGGGGCGGAGCCAGGAUUUGGACAUGAGGGGGGCGAAAAGCCAAUGCUAAUAGAAGUGGAACAUCAUAAUAUAUUGAGUCUCGUGAUGGCACUGAUAAGAAAUCUUUAAAACAUAUGUUUGAAACUACAAAAGAAUGUUACAUUUCUAUAAACUUAGCUCUACGACAGCCACCAGCGUUGAACAAGUUGAUAACGUGAAUCGGCUAUUUUCCUUAUUACCAAUAUACUCCCUCCGCUCAAAAUAAGUGUCUCAACUUUCAACUAACUUUAAUAUAAAGUUGUACUAGGCAUGAAAUGGGCAAGUUGAUAACGUGAAUUAGCUAUUUUCCUUAUUACCAAUAUACUCCCUCCGUCCCAAAAUAAGUGUCUCAACUUUCAGCUAACUUUAAUAUAAAGUUGUACUAAGCUUGAAAUGGGCAAGUUGAUACUCUAAUUGAACCCUUUCUUAACUAGAAAAGACUACAGGAUAAUAAAAAUCCACUAGUGUGCAUAUGGUAGACACGUCAAAUAACUCAUAUCAUGGAUCCAAAAAUGCCCAAAAUGUCAAAAGCUCUAUUGUAAAUACAAUGCUAAUAAAUCAGACUAAGAUCAUAAUUCAUGAAAAAAUAUACUAAUAAUUAAUAGCUACUGGUGCGUCGUGGUACCUGCUGCCAAUAUAUUCAAUCUUGGUGACCUCGCUAGCGGCAUCAAGCUGUAUUCGUAUGAUCUGAUCCGCCUCCAUCUAAUUGUAUGCGGACAGCGAACUGUGGUGUAGAAUGGUGGAGGAAAUUGUCGUCAAGGCGACCAAUGGAUGGCCGCCACGGCAAUGACAAACGCCCAAGCAGGACACCCGCGGCGGCGGGUGGCCUAGGGGCAGCCGGCGACAACGGCGAACGCCCUAGGUCGUCCAGAGAAUACGCGUGUACACCAAUCGAUCAGAUCGAUCACAUUAUCCAUACACCAGAGGAGCCAGCCACGACCAUAUGCCUACAUAUGUAUGGGCUAUUGGGCUUUGGUCUUCUAUAUUCGGUGUAGCUGGUUCAAUGAAUAUAAUUUAUAUGGGCUAAUGAUGCAUUUAGCUGGGGCCAUUAGCAAUGUACAGUAUGCAGCCUGCUAAAAACCGUUGAGGGGGGCGAGCGAUUGGCAGGGGUCUAGCCCCUGCUCGCCCCCCCUUGUCUCCGCCCAUGGUCACAUGGCAGCAAAUGCGAGGCAAUACAACUGCCGUGCUACCUUACUGAAAUUGACAUUCAUGCCACUAUCACAUGUUUGGCCACGUCAUCCGUGGUGGCGGCAAAAAGCGAAAACCACCAUUUGCUUGAUCUCCUUCAUGCUUUGUUUGAUAGAAGUGGAUUGGAGAGGUUUGGAGGGGGGGGGGGGUCUGGGGAUUGGGUGGAUCCCUCUCUUCCACCUAAUCGCCUCAAAACCCUUCCUUUCACAAUUUGUUUAAAAUUUUAUUUGGUAACAUUUAAAAAUCCAAUCUUUAUAAUGUAACUAACUCCCCUUAUAUCCUUGCUACAGAAUUGAAAAGGUCACCUAAUAAAAAUGACUUGAAAUCACUAUCUCAUAAUUUAGCAGCAGUUUUUCCAACAACAACAUAAUUUUACAUGACUUGAAAUCAAUAUCUCAUCACAACAACAACAUAAUUUAUCAUAACAGCAUGACUUUGAAUCCCAAAUCCCAGCAUUCAUAAUUUAUCAUAACAACAUAAUCUUUCGCAGCAAACAGUUCAUCACAGCCACAACAUCAUUUUGAAACAAAGAUAUUGCAGACAAAUGUAUCCAUCUUUUGGUGUCAUGGUCAUCUAGCAUUGAGAACCUGAGAGAAAUUUAUCCAUCCGGCUUGUUUAUUGUGGCUUCUUUUGGUGCUUGAGAACCUAAUAAAACAAAAAGAGAUGAAUAUUAGAGUGCCUUGAGAAAAACUGUUACAGCAAAUAGCUUUGCUAGAUAGAUGAACGAUUAGUUCUAUUUACAAAGCGAGUAAUACAUAUGAAAGUAUAAUAGUAGAUUUCGUCAAGUAUCGCCGGAACAUAGUAAGCAAUUAAGCAUAAUAAAUGCAAAACAAGUCCUACUACUUGCAGAUAAUAAAAUACAAAUGCAGAGAUACGGCAGUAUUCAGUUUAGAUGAAUAGAAAAGCCAGUGUUGGUAAGAUCAUCACUGAUAUAGAUAUAGUAUUACCACAGAAAUCACUACUACUACUUCUACUCGCAGAUAAGCAGCAAAGAUACAUCAGCCAACCACAAUUGUCAUAGCAAAACUAGUUCAGUACAAUACUAAACUGAACAUGUACAAGUCUUUGGCCCUGGAAUAAAUUUACUCUUAAAAUAAGAAGAUAUCCAAGCGGCAGGAUUCUGUCAAAAUAAGAACAUGUCUAAGUUGAGAACAGAGGGAGUAGAUGGCACAAGGCCAUCCUAUCCUGUACACUGUUGCAUGCAUGUUCCUCUGAGAGCAUGUUCAUUUUGAUUGUAUCCUGUACAAUGAUUGUUUAUCCAGGAUAAUAUAUAUCACUACCAUUUGAGCUGCAUUUUAAGUACUGAGAAAGCUAAGAGGUAAAAAGGCACAACCAUGUAAGCUGCAGUUUGAGAGCUAAAAAAAAUGUGGUUGUACUAAAGAAAAAGAAAAGGUGCUCAGCUACAACACCGACUGUUGUACUAUGUCACCGAAAUAUGCAGGUUAUGCACAACAGUUUACAAUCACCGCACAUACGCACAACAGUUACAACAUCAGACUAUCACCAUCACUAAUUUACAAUCUGCACCACACUGCCAUCAGCAUCAGCAUCAGAUCAUCACAAAUGAGCACUACUAAUGCUACUAUAUAUCUCUAGAUAGGCAGGCAGAUCGACCGCGGGAUCAACAACUGUCACCAGGAGGGGGCGAACUUGGUUUAGAAUCAGCCAAUUUAUCCUCCUAGAUGCAUCAUACCAUCACCAACACAAAUUUAUGGCAAUCUCGCCGGCUAGGGUUAGGGUAUAAGAGGGGCUAGAAGAGGACGAAGUCCUUGGCGAGCUAGCCGGGUAGGGUUAGGGUCCAUGUGGAGCUGGGGGUAGGAUACGUCGUUCUUGGCGUGCUCGCCGGUGAGGACGAGGCGGACGGAGGGCGUGCGGGAGGUGGCAGCCAUGGCGAAGACUUGCCUCCCGGGAGAGGAGGGGGAGGGGAGGGGCGGCGAUGACUUACCACCGGGGAGAAGUCCAGUAUGCCGGAGGAGAUCGCCGGCGUCGAGGCGUUGAGCGGCGCGGCGUCUUGGGGAGGAGUCGGCGGUGGCGUCUCGAGUCGAGCAGCCAAAUCCUCGAGCCCCCUCGAGGGUUCUGAAGCGCGUGGAAACAAGUGGAUCGAAGGGGACUCGAGGGGGUUGGGCCGUCGAAACCCCGCGUACCAAAUGGACCAACGAGGAUUUGCGAGGAUUCUGGGUGGGGUUAAUCCUCUGAAAACCCUUAAUCCUCUGGAAACCCCUCCGACCCACGCGAAACAAACGAGGCCUUUAAUGAUAAUUUGCCAUUAUCGGCUUGAGCCAGCUCCAGCAACAUUUGCUCUAGCUCUCUCCUUCCCGACGCAGGCUCAUAGUGUGCCCUUGCGACUCCCCUCAACACUCAUCAGUGUUGUGCCCAGCCGUC